rnacentral:tRNA from 1 species
GGGGUUAUAGCUCAGCUGGAUAGAGCAUCGGCCUUCUAAGCCGAGGGUCGCAGGUUCGAGUCCUGCUAACCCCA